rnacentral:rRNA from 1 species
GAUGAACGCUGGCGGCGUGCUUAACACAUGCAAGUCGAACGAUGAAGCCCAGCUUGCUGGGUGGAUUAGUGGCGAACGGGUGAGUAACACGUGAGUAACCUGCCCUUAACUCUGGGAUAAGCCUGGGAAACUGGGUCUAAUACCGGAUAGGAGCGUCCACCGCAUGGUGGGUGUUGGAAAGAUUUAUCGGUUUUUGAUGGACUCGCGGCCUAUCAGCUUGUUGGUGAGGUAAUGGCUCACCAAGGCGACGACGGGUAGCCGGCCUGAGAGGGUGACCGGCCACACUGGGACUGAGACACGGCCCAGACUCCUACGGGAGGCAGCAGUGGGGAAUAUUGCACAAUGGGCGCAAGCCUGAUGCAGCGACGCCGCGUGAGGGAUGACGGCCUUCGGGUUGUAAACCUCUUUCAGUAGGGAAGAAGCGAAAGUGACGGUACCUGCAGAAGAAGCACCGGCUAACUACGUG